rnacentral:rRNA from 1 species
CCGGCGCACGGGUGAGUAACGCGUGUGCAACCUGCCCGGCACAGUGGGAUAAUCCGGAGAAAUCCGGUCUAAUACCGCAUGACGCGGGAAAGGCGCAUGCCUUUUCCGCCAAAGGAGGCGACUCCGGUGCCGGCUGGGCACGCGUGACAUUAGCUAGACGGCGGGGUGACGGCCCACCGUGGCGACGAUGCGUAGGGGUUCUGAGAGGAAGGCCCCCCACACUGGGACUGAGACACGGCCCAGACUCCUACGGGAGGCAGCAG